rnacentral:rRNA from 1 species
AACGAACGCUGGCGGCAUGCCUAACACAUGCAAGUCGAACGAAGGCUUCGGCCUUAGUGGCGCACGGGUGCGUAACGCGUGGGAAUCUGCCCUUUGGUUCGGAAUAACAGCUGGAAACGGCUGCUAAUACCGGAUGAUGACGAAAGUCCAAAGAUUUAUCGCCAGAGGAUGAGCCCGCGUUGGAUUAGGUAGUUGGUGGGGUAAAGGCCUACCAAGCCGACGAUCCAUAGCUGGUCUGAGAGGAUGAUCAGCCACACUGGGACUGAGACACGGCCCAGACUCCUACGGGAGGCAGCAGUAGGGAAUAGUGGACGAUGGGCGCAAGCCUGAUCCAGCAAUGCCGCGUGAGUGAUGAAGGCCUUAGGGUUGUAAAGCUCUUUUACCCGGGAAGAUAAUGACUGUACCGGGAGAAUAAGCCCCGGCUAACUCCGUG